rnacentral:rRNA from 1 species
GUGGGGAAUCUUGCGCAAUGGGCGAAAGCCUGACGCAGCCAUGCCGCGUGAAUGAUGAAGGUCUUAGGAUUGUAAAAUUCUUUCACCGGGGACGAUAAUGACGGUACCCGGAGAAGAAGCUCCGGCUAACUUCGUGCCAGCAGCCGCGGUAAUACGAAGGGGGCUAGCGUUGCUCGGAAUUACUGGGCGUAAAGGGCGCGUAGGCGGACAGCUUAGUCAGAGGUGAAAGCCCAGGGCUCAACCUUGGAAUUGCCUUUGAUACUGGCUGUCUUGAGUUUGGGAGAGGUGGGUGGAACUCCGAGUGUAGAGGUGAAAUUCGUAGAUAUUCGGAAGAACACCAGUGGCGAAGGCGACUCACUGGCCCGUUACUGACGCUGAGGCGCGAAAGCGUGGGGAGCAAACAGGAUUAGAUACCCCUGUAGUCC